UACGGGGGGGGGCAAGCGUUGUUCGGAAUUACUGGGCGUAAAGCGCGCGUAGGCGGACCUGCAAGUCGGGGGUGAAAGCCCGAGGCUCAACCUCGGAACUGCCUUCGAUACUGCGGGUCUCGAGUCCGGGAGAGGUGAGUGGAAUUCCUAGUGUAGAGGUGAAAUUCGUAGAUAUUCGCAAGAACACCAGUGGCGAAGGCGGCUCACUGGCCCAUUACUGACGCUGAGGCACGAAAGCGUGGGGAGCAAACAGGG
rnacentral:rRNA from 1 species